rnacentral:rRNA from 1 species
AUUGAACGCUGGCGGCAGGCUUAACACAUGCAAGUCGAGCGGAGAUGAGGUGCUUGCACCUUAUCUUAGCGGCGGACGGGUGAGUAAUGCUUAGGAAUCUGCCUAUUAGUGGGGGACAACAUUCCGAAAGGAAUGCUAAUACCGCAUACGCCCUACGGGGGAAAGCAGGGGAUCUUCGGACCUUGCGCUAAUAGAUGAGCCUAAGUCGGAUUAGGUAGUUGGUGGGGUAAAGGCCUACCAAGGCGACGAUCUGUAGCGGGUCUGAGAGGAUGGUCCGCCACACUGGGACUGAGACGCGGCCCAGGCUCCUACGGGAGGCAGCAGUGUGGAAUAUUGGACAAUGGGCGGAAGCCUGAUCCAGCCAUGCCGCGUGUGUGAAGAAGGCCUUUUGGUUGUAAAGCACUUUAAGCGAGGAGGAGGCUACCUGGAUUAAUACUCUAGGAUAGUGGACGUUACUCGCAGAAUAAGCACCGGCUAACUCUGUGCCAGCAGCCGCCGUAAGAC